AGUGUCUGGUGGGUAGUUUGACUGGGGCGGUCUCCUCCUAAAGAGUAACGGAGGAGCACGAAGGUUGGCUAAUCCUGGUCGGACAUCAGGAGGUUAGUGCAAUGGCAUAAGCCAGCUUGACUGCGAGCGUGACGGCGCGAGCAGGUGCGAAAGCAGGUCAUAGUGAUCCGGUGGUUCUGAAUGGAAGGGCCAUCGCUCAACGGAUAAAAGGUACUCCGGGGAUAACAGGCUGAUACCGCCCAAGAGUUCAUAUCGACGGCGGUGUUUGGCACCUCGAUGUCGGCUCAUCACAUCCUGGGGCUGAAGUAGGUCCCAAGGGUAUGGCUGUUCGCCAUUUAAAGUGGUACGCGAGCUGGGUUUAGAACGUCGUGAGACAGUUCGGUCCCUAUCUGCCGUGGGCGCUGGAGAACUGAGGGGGGCUGCUCCUAGUACGAGAGGACCGGAGUGGACGCAUCACUGGUGUUCGGGUUGUCAUGCCAAUGGCACUGCCCGGUAGCUAAAUGCGGAAGAGAUAAGUGCUGAAAGCAUCUAAGCACGAAACUUGCCCCGAGAUGAGUUCUCCCUGAGACUUUAGGUCUCCUGAAGGAACGUUGAAGACGACGACG
rnacentral:rRNA from 1 species